rnacentral:lncRNA from 1 species
AGUUUCUGAGGUUCAUCUUAAGUGUAGGUUGUGACUCUCAAAGGAGGCAAAGAGUCAUUAGAUGUUCAGUCCUUAAUUAAUUUCAUCAGGAUUUGGGCCUCUAUUUCCAUUCUAAGAAACCCCGUCGCUAAUUAGCUGAGUUUGGGCUAAGGGCUACAUAUUUCAUUUUUAAGGUAUUUACAUCACCACCAUUACCAAAGUGUCUGAGCAUGUCACAAUCUUUAAGGUGUUUAUCCUCCCAACAAUUCUGCAAGACAGAGAAAGACAAUUAUCCCCAUUUCACAUGCGGAACAAUGAGGCACCAUGGGCCAGAAUUUUAAAGGUAUUGAGUGAGGUGCCCAACUCCCAUGGUGUCCAAGAUUACAGAGGAAAUGGGUGGCAGAGCAGACAGUCCAAACUUGGUUUCCCCAUAUCCAAGGCAAGAGCACUGAGAUAGGUCCAAACUUCUUCUCAGGUUAUUAGGGUUAGUUGUUACGGUUAUGGUGAGGGGGCUGGGUUGUGGCUAAGCAAUAGCUCUAUGGUUAGAUGUGAGCAUGAAGAUCAUCAGUUGUGGUUAUGGUUAAGUGAGGGGUAAAAUAAUUUCAAACUUAGAAAUAUUUUCAUGCCUCUGGGCUGGGAAAUAUAAACUUAAACAAACAGAGAUAAAUUGUUGGCUCCGUUUUCACCGUGUGCCCUGGUAGAAGCUGCAGAAUCACUCACGUACAGAAAUCAACAGGUAAAAAGAUGAGUGUAACUUCUUCUUUCUCCAGAUUGCACAUUCUAGCAAGUCAUUUCCUCAUGAUACUCCAAACUUCAUCUCAAUUUUUAUCUGGUUCUGUUUUAGUUCCAAAGCCUCAGAAAAGCAUCGAGGGAUCUGAACCCAGAGUAUGUGCCAGAAACCUGCAUCCUGGUCAUGAUCAACAGGGAUCUAAAGCCAGGGUUCCUGGUGCAGAGCAGAUGGAACAGGGCUCUGAAGUCACCUACGCGCUCAUGGUAUUCCCGGCCUUGGAGGCCCAGGCAACCCAGUCGAAAAACAAAGCCAAGCCUGCUGAAGAUGAGCAUGUGCUGUAUAGCGAGGUGGUGACAACGCGCACUCGAAAGGCAGCUAAAUAAGGGGGGGAAACCCUCUCUACGUCUCUCUGCAUCUUCUCCUCCUCCAGGCAGCCGUAUCCUUAACCCUUUAUAUCUCAAGAUCCCUUUUAUGCCACUUGGCAAAGCGCACACCCAACACACUUGUCAGACUAUUUAGCCAACCAGCAGCUUGUCGGGUAUCAUAGAAAAGCUUGUGACCCACUGCCCGGGAAUAUCACUGUAUGAUGUAUGUAGGGGUUGUUAGAAAGAGUUACAUAUGUAUGCUGGAAAUAUGUUGUGGGUGUGGUUGCUGAACAAGCGACAAAGAGUCCUGUGGCACCUUAUAGACUAACAGAUGUAUUGGAGCAUAAGCUACCACUCUGAUACUUGAUAAACAAGGUGGCCAGAGACAAAGGAAUGUGGACUUAUGAGUCUCCAUGCAUCAAGCAAACUGGCAGAUAAGAAAAACAGGACGACUUGUGUGAUGCUGGGAAGUCUGAGCUCCGCUUUUGCCAGGCUGCAGGCAUUAGCUAAGAACUGACAACCUCAUAGCUGAAGAUCAGAGCAGGUCACCUGUAUAUUCUUUUUGCUCUAAAUAGUUAAUACUCUUCUAAGAAUGUCUUCCGUGUUUAGACUCUAUAAAAUGCUUGUAUGUUGCUGCCUGCAUUAAUCUCAUGCAUAAUGUCAGUAUCCCAUGUUAUAAGGUGAUAUUUGUUUGCUCUGUAACUGUAAACGCCCACACAGUCUGGAGAGAAGCAUGACCAAGUGUGAAAUACAACUUUGCCAGAGGAGGUUUUAUUUUCUGCCCAGCAACACAAGGUCCAUAGAGACCUGACACACCAUUGUGGAACAUCAGAGGACGAAAAACUGUGUUGAUUGUGUCCCCCCACACAUGAAGAGGAAACGUGGAUGGGAACUCGUCCCGUCCUCUUCACAUCUGGGGGAAGAGAAUAAAAAUCCCUGACGAGAAGAAAUUGCGUCUUUU